rnacentral:ncRNA from 1 species
GUGUUGUAUGAAACAAGAGGCGGACUAGCACUCCCCUUGGCAGGAUGGAAGAGGCCCUCAGGCCUGACAACAUGCAUACCGUUAAGGCAUUGCCUCCUGCUUCAUGGUAUCUCACCAUCAUUUUUA